rnacentral:misc_RNA from 1 species
UUUCCGUAGGUGAACCUGCGGAAGGAUCAUUACAGAGUUCAUGCCCUUCGGGGUAGAUCUCCACCCGUGUUUAUUUAUACCUUUGUUGCUUUGGCAGGCCGUCAGGCUUCGGCUUGACUAUCGGCUCCGGCUGGUGCGUGCCCGCCAGAGGACCCCAAACUCUGAAUGUUAGUGUCGUCUGAGUACUAUCUAAUAGUUAAAACUUUCAACAACGGAUCUCUUGGUUCUGGCAUCGAUGAAGAACGCAGC